UGCGAAGGGGGCGAGCGUUGUUCGGAAUUACUGGGCGUAAAGGGCGCGCAGGCGGCUCUGAAAGUCAGAUGUGAAAGCCCCGGGCUUAACCUGGGAACUGCAUUUGAUACUCUAGAGCUUGAGUACGGGAGAGGAGAGUGGAAUUCCCAGUGUAGAGGUGAAAUUCGUAGAUAUUGGGAAGAACACCGGUGGCGAAGGCGGCUCUCUGGACCGUAACUGACGCUGAGGCGCGAAAGCGUGGGGAGCAAACAGG
rnacentral:rRNA from 1 species